rnacentral:lncRNA from 1 species
AAAAACAAAACAAAACAAAAAAAGCAGAAACAGCAAAGUAGUUUGUUCUGAAAAGAGAGGAUGUGGUGAAGAAGGGAUGGCCACCAUCCUAAGGGAAAAUGUUUUCUGAUAACAGUCUUUCUUUGGAUCUUCAGUUAAUCGCUGUCAAGCACAAUCUGCACAGCAUUAGCUAGGAAGUAAUUUCCCCCAAAAGCCUAGGUCUGUGGCACAGCUCUCACCUCUGUUGGUGUCAAGCUUCUUGUAUUCAGAUAAUUAGACAUCAUGCAAAGGCCCUUUGAUCGCUAAAGUGUAGAAAGAGUCUAAACUAACACACUUUAAGUUUACCUGUGCUUGGUGUAGGAAAGCUGCAAAACUAGUUGUCCUGUGUCCAAUGUUUCUUAGCUAGUUUGAAGGAAGAGAAAUGAGAUGUUUUUUCAUUUUAACAUAUAAAGAAUAUGUGCUAGUAAUGAAAGGAUUCAGCAAAAGCAGCAAUUUAUAAAUUGUGUUUUACUUAACAUUGGUAAGGAAAACUAAAUGCCUAAGAUUAUUGGCUGACAGUGUUUGAGAAUGACAGUGAGACAGUAAGUUUUAUCAUUAUCUAGGCAGUCGUGUGUCCAAUGUGAGAAUGGAGAUGACAAUGUAAUCUUGUCCAUGAGAGAAAAAGAGGAUCCACUACAGCAACAGUAAUAUACAAGAAAUAUGUAAUAGCCCAAUGCCACAUAUUACGAUUUUUAGAGAUUUUAAAUCUAAAUCUAGCUCUGUAUAUUAUCUGAUUAGUACUUGUUUGUCCCAAGUUUUGGGCUUUGUUUUAACAGUUAUUAUUGUUUUUAUUGAUCUCUAUUUCACAAAAACUUGUAUGCCAAACACCAAACCUAGGUGCCAGAAGUAGGUCUGGCUUCUGCAGCUUCCCCAAAGUGUGGAAGGAAGGGCUGGGCAAACCCAACUUCAGGUCGGUUUUGCAGAAACCAUGUGUGGUAAAUGAAGCAAUCAUGGCAUCUGCCUGUUAAUUCAAUAGCUCUCUUCUCAGAUUCAAUAACUUUUCUCUGCCAAUGGGCAAAGAUAGGCUAUAAAGUUAAGACAAGUUUCAGGAAAGUUUUAGGAAGCAUCUCCAUGGAUCUUAUAAUUUUAUUUAUUCAUUUAUUUUAUUUAUUCCAGUGUCCAUGGAAGUUCCUAGGCCAGGGAUUGAGUCCAAGCCACAACUGUGAUGCCACAGAGCCUGGGAUUGAACCCACACCUCUGCAGUGACCUGAGCCACUGCAGUCAGAUUCUUAAUCCACGCAUCAUAGCCCGAACUCCCUGAGACUUUUAACUAGGGUUUGGGUAUCUUGUCUAGUUCUGUGGGCAUGUUCUAUCUUUGCUGCUGGCAGUAACACUCCUCUUUUUCGGGAGGGAAGGAAAAGACAACUUUUUUCCCUUGAUCUGGACACAUUUUUGGAGCAAAAGUGAGAAAAAGAGACUGGGGAGGCAAGUAGCCUUUGGAUAGAAGCUGAUAAUGGUAGAAUCUUCUAAUCGAUUCAAAAUUCAGUCUAAAUAUUGAUGUUUUGAAUAUGUUGGGUUCCAUAUUAAGUCCUGGGGUGCAUUUCUAUGAUGGUUAAAAAUACAGCACAAAUGAACCUUUCCACAGAAAAGAAAAUCAUGGACUUGGAGCAUAGACUUGUGGUUGCCAAGAGGGAGGGGGAGGGAGUGGGAUGGAUUGCGAGCUUGGGGUUAACAGAUGCAGCCUAUUGCCUUUGGAAUGAAUUAGCAAUGAGAUCCUGCUGUGUAGCACUGGGAACUAUGUCUGGUCACUUAUGAUGGAGCAUGAUAAUGUGAGAAAAAAGAAUGUAUACAUGUAUGUGUAACUGGGUCACCAUGCUGUACAGUAGAAAAUUGACAGAACACUGUAAACUAGUUAUAAUGAAAACAAAAAUUAUUAUAUAAAGUUGAAAAACAAUAGGAUCUAGCUGUCUGAUAUGCUGCCAAACCUGAGCAUUUAACAUAAUAGAGCUGGCUGAACAACAGUGGUUGGGCUGGGAAAACUGAGAUUGGCUUCGUGCCUGUGCAAUGAAAAGUAAUUUAAAUAUCAACGCUGAGCGAGCCUUGGUUACAUCCUUGACUGCUUCUCCCAUAGAAGUCUUGUUCAAGUGCUUUUGACUAAGAGGGAAUCAAAAGUUCCUUCCUUCUCUUCAAAUUUAUCAACCAUUUCUUCUGAAAAUUAAGUAAAAAUGACAAACUACUGUAAGCGAACGAGCAUUCCUCUUAAACAAAAUUAUCAUGGGUUUUAUUUUAUACUCUAUUGAGAGAACGUGAGUGAAAUCCUUCCUAGAGGCUCUUCUAUUUGGGAGUCAUGACCAUAUGCUUAGGAUGACAGCUACUUGGCCAUGAUUUACUAAAGGUUAUGCCUUAAAAUAAGUUUCUGUUUAAGGAGAUUGGGUUAGUGGCCUUUAAGUUUUUUUCAAGUAUCCCUGGGUGGACCUUCUGACAAAUUAGUAUCAUAUGUGCUUGGAGUUGUCAAAGCCAUACUUUUUCUUCCCUUCCUCUUUAAUCCUCACCUCUAGCCAAAAAUCUUUUUGUCACAGAGGCUGCCCAUUUCUGAAAUAUCCUUCUCUAGUCUCUCACUCGCUGACUUAGUUUCUUGUUAACGGCAGUACCCUCUUCUACUACACUUUAUUGGUGUCCUGUUCCGUAACUGUUCCAUUUCUUUCUCUCCAUCUAAAAGCAUCUUUCAGAGAGUUCUCGCUGUGGCGCAAUGGGAUUGGUGGACUCUCUGGAGCAGUGGGAUGCAAGUUUGAUCCCUGGCCUGGCACAGUGGGUUAGGGAUUCAGUGCUGCCACAGCUAUGGCGUGGGUCACACCGUGGUUCUCAUCUGAACCCUGGCCCAGGAAUCCCAUAUGCCGAAGGGUGGCCAAUAAAUAAAAAAAUAAGUAAACAAAUAAAUAAAAGCUUCUUUCUGGAAAUAAUUCCUUUGGUAACAAGUCUGGGCCUUUGAUCCCUAACAUAAAUGGCUAUUGUCCAUACAGACAAAUUUUUGGUCUUUUACUUUCCUGCUGUAUCCAUGUAGCCAAGUCUAGUGCUGAGUCAACCCAACCACCUGUGUUCUCUGUUCCUAUACCUGGAUGGUAAGCAACACUGGCAGAAGUCAAAUAGCCACAUAGGUUGAUGCCACUAAAAAAUUAAGUUCUUUGUUUUAGUUGCACUGCUAAUGAUAUCAUUUUAUUCGUUUCAUCUCAGCUCUUUGAUCCUCCAAAGCUAUAUCAGGCCUCCAUCAUUUUCCCCUCAGGUCUUUCAACUUGAGAUACCCCCUCUGGUUCCAGCUGAUGAUCUUGCUUUUAUGUUACUGAAACAAAUGAUGUUGAUAAGCAAGUGUUCCCUCUCCUCCUGCCACUUACCUAACUCAUUGUAUCUAUGCCUACCUUUGUCUUCCUUCCUAUAGUUUCAGUGAAAAAAAUAACAAUAUAACAAAACAAAUGGUAAGAAAAUUCACACGCAUUCCCUCUUAGUGUCUGCAUUUAAUUUCUUUAUCUAGACUCUACUUGGGAAUGCUUCAAUUUGUCAUGCCAUCGAAAUAUGCAAAUGACAUAUCUAGGAGGCAUUUAAACAUACAGAUCUGGAACUCAGGAAAGAAAUCCUGGCUGGAGAGACAUAUUUAGGAUUCAACGACAAAUAAAGAUUGAAUUUGAGUUCCCUGGUGACUAAGUGGGUUAGGGAUCUGGCCUUGUCACUGCUGUGGCAUGGGUUUGA